GGAGCGCCUCCGCGGGGCCCGGGACCUCGGGGACGGCUUGCACCCAGAAGGCCGAGGGAGCCUGGCCCCACGCGGGCUCCAAGGGUGUGCUCGGAAAAUGAGAAGUCUCCAGGCCCCGGCGAUCGGGGCCGGGCGUGCACAGUUAUUGCCGCCUGCGUCUCCCCGAUGACAGCAUUUGAAUAACCUCGGUUUAGGGGAUCCAGGGGAAGCCAGGGACACUGCCCAGCCGCGCGCUGCCACCAAGUGGCCAGGACCUGCACCCCUGGACGCAGGCACGCCUCCGGCUCCGGCGCCACCGUUUGCGUCCCUGCCUGUGUCCACCGCGGAGGGACGGCGUGCUCACUCGCUACCCCAGCAGAGCGGGGAUGUUUAUCUCAGUCGUCGUUGAAACCACAGACCAGAGGACCACAGAAAGUACGUUUCUCCAAUAGUUUUUACAAGAUGAAUUACGCAGCUGCAGCAGAAAUCUAGUUCUUUCUAUGCAGAUUGAAUUAAAGUGGUGUCGCGUGAGUUGCUGGAAGGUCACGUGUCUCUUGGGCCCGUCAGCUGUGCAGUUGCGGUGGUUACGCAACUUGCCUUCAGAACUGCAGCCACCUCAGCAAAGCAUUUAGACAACACAUGGAAUUAAAAUGAGACUCGUACUUUCUUUGAGCAACAAAUUCCUUGUUAGCAAAACCAAGACUCGGGGUUCGACACUGACUCCCACUGGAGGCUGGCAGCCCCCGCAAGCGCAGCUCUACAGGUCACGCUUCUGACAUGCGUGCCCGUAUGUGCUACGGGCGAAGCUCCUGUAAGUGGCUGUCACUCGUGCGCUGCCUUUGUUCCAAAUCACUGCCGCCCUUUGAAAGUCAUGGGGGAGAGAAAAGAUGACAUGAGAUGUAAAAAUGAAAUAAAGGGUUCGUGUCCUCUGGCCAUCUUAACUGCGCGUC